rnacentral:sRNA from 1 species
AAGGUUCGACUCGAGCGCCAGCGAGAGAGCGUUGCCGCAGGCAACGACCCGAAGGGCGAAGCGCGCAGCGCUGAGUAAUCCUUCCCCCACCACCA